AUUGAACGCUGGCGGCAGGCCUAACACAUGCAAGUCGAACGAGUGGCGGACGGGUGAGUAAUGUCUGGGAAACUGGCUGAUGGAGGGGGAUAACUACGGGAAACGGUAGCUAAUACCGCAUACCAUCGGAUGUGCCCAGAUGGGAUUAGCUAGUAGGUGGGGUAAAGGCUCACCUAGGCGACGAUCCCUAGCUGGUCUGAGAGGAUGACCAGCCACACUGGAACUGAGACACGGUCCAGACUCCUACGGGAGGCAGCAGUGGGGAAUAUUGCACAAUGGGUGCAAGCCUGAUGCAGCCAUGCCGCGUGUAUGAAGAAGGCCUUCGGGUUGUAAAGUUCUUUCAGUGGGGAGGCGUUAACCGCAGAAGAAGCACCGGCUAACUCCGUGCCAGCAGCCGCGGUAAUAC
rnacentral:rRNA from 1 species